CAGGGAGACAACAAAAUGUUUAAUAUUAUUAUUUUGUCACCUUAGGUCGAUCGGUAUCUCACGUUCUUAAUUUGUUAAGAAUUUCAUUUCCUAAGUUUUUCUAGGUCACACCCAUUAUUUUUCCUGGGCCAUUAGCUCAGGUGGUUAGAGCGCACCCCUGAUAAGGGUGAGGUCCCUGGUUCAAGUCCAGGAUGGCCCAUAUCUCUAUGUUGGGGGUAUAGCUCAGUUGGUAGAGCGCCUGCUUUGCAAGCAGGAUGUCAGCGGUUCGAGUCCGCUUACCUCCACUGAUUACCACCUCUUCCAUAACCGGUAGAAAGGAAAUGUUUUGAGCUGUGAUCAUUAUUCUGAACGAAUCUAGCUUCCUAAUGAAAUCAUUAAGAUGCUGGACUCAUUGAAUUAAUUUCAUUGUUUUCAGAGAACCUUGACAACUGCAUAGAUUUUUUUAAAGACAAUAAGCAUCUUUAAUGAUGCAGAUUUAUUAUUUGUGCGAAUGCAUUAAUAACAAUUCUAUUAAGCUGAUGCUUCAAUUUUUGAAGUUAUU
rnacentral:tRNA from 1 species